AACGUUGAAACAUUGGUUCCCGCACGAUUGCCGAAGUUAAAAAACGUUGAGCCUGGUCAGUACUUAGAAGGGUGACCUUUUGGGAAUACUAAGUGCUGUU